UCGGGAAAUCAUUCAGCUAUCCUUUUUCUCUCAACCUGAUGGCCCAGUGAUUGGAAAUGGCUCCUUUAAAUCGUCAUUCUUAUUUCCAGGUAUAAAAGAAGGAUUUUAUCUAGGUCCACCACCGAAAGAUAAGCUUCUCAAGAAUUCUACACAAGGUUCUGUAUUGUUAGGGGCAAUUUCGUAUGGAAAACUGUCAUUUUCUGAGGGGGAGAAUAAAAAUCUAGAAAAGCACCUUGCAUCAUAUCAACUAAUAAUACACAAGGUUCUGUAUUGUUAGUGAUUAAAUGUUUGUUCUAAA